rnacentral:lncRNA from 1 species
UAUGCUGCAGAUGCAGCCCUAAAAAGAAAAAGAAAAAAAAAAAAAAAACCAAUGGCAUGGAGAAGUCUGUGAAAGGAUAGUUUCUCAACAAUUGGACCUGCUGCCUUUGGAACACACAUACACUCAUUCAUUCGCUUCUGAUUUGUGGCUGCUUUUGCCCUGCAGAGCCAGAGUUGAGUGGUUGUGACUGAAACUACGGCCCACAGAUCAUAAAAUGUUUACUGUCUGACCCUUAACAGAAAUGUUCGACAACCCCUAGUCUAUACCAGCCUAUUACCCAUGGUUUUUUUUCUUGUAGGUGUAUGGAUGGAGGGAGGGGUUGUCUGUCUUGAGCAUCUCUCUGUUACCUUAAAUUUUAUUUUUAAUGUAUUUUUAUAAUCAGAAAAUUCAAUUUGCAAGAAAAGAAGGCAUGCAGGAUCUACACUACCUGAUUUUGAGACCUGCUAUAACGCUGUAGUUCUCCACACACUUACUGCCAUAAGGAUUGGCAUGUAGCUCAAUCAAACAGAAUAGAUCAUUUAGAAAUAGACCCAGCCUUGUAUGCUCAAUUGAUUUUCAACAAACGUGCCAAGGUAAUGCAAUAGGAAAUGAUAGGCUUUUCAACAAAUGGUACUGGAACAACUGGAUAUCCGAAGGGAGGGGGGAAAAGAACAUUGAACUUCACCUUGUACCAUAAACAAAAAUUAACUUGCAGUGGAUCAUAGAUAUAAAUGUAAGAGCUAAAGCUAUAAAAUGUCUUCUAGGCAAAGAUUUCUUGGAUAGAAUACAAAAAGCACAAAACAUAAGAGAAAUAAUUAAUACAAUGGACUUCAUAAAAGAAUUUUUAAACACUUAUCUUCAAAAAGAAAAGUAAAUGAAAAGAGUAUAAAUGAAAAGACAAGCCACCGACUGGAAGAAGAUCUUUGCAAAAUACAUCUCUGGAAAAAGACUUAUCUCCCAGAACAUCUAAAGGACUCUUACUGCUUAAUAAUAGGUAGUCCAACAACCCAGUUUUAAAAUGGGCAAGAGAUUUAAACAGACAUUUCACCAAAGAAGAUACACAGAUGACAGAUCAAUACUUGAAUUAGGUGCUCAACAUCCUUCGUCAUUGGGAAAAGCAACUUAAAUACUUACCACGACGCGCCUGUGAGUACAGCUGAACUUGCAAAGGCUGGCUAUGCUGUGUGCUUAGAGGAUGCAGGGCCACUGGCGGAAGGCUCUGUGCUAUAGCCUCCUGGAAGAACAGUGCGACGGUUUCUUACAGAGUUAAGCACACACCUCCCAUACAAUCCAGCAGUCUUCCCUCUAGGUAUAUACCCAAGAAAUAGGAAAAUAUAUGUCAGCACAAGGAUCUGCAUUCCAAAAACUGGAAACAACCACUUCCCUCCCUUAACUGGUGGAUGGAUACACAAUUUGUGAUGCAUCCAUACAAUGAACACUGUUCAACAUUCUAAAGGAAUGAAUUAGUAAUACUCAGAGAAGCAUGGGUGAAUCUCAGGAGCAUUGUGCAGAGUGAAAGAAGCCACACGCAAUAGCUGCUUCCUGUAUGAUUCCCUUACUAUAUGAUUACCUGACUUCCUGGAAAAGGUGAAUCUCUUUGGACAGCUGGCGGAUCAGUGGUUCCCAGGGGCUGUAAAUGAGCAGCGGGAUGGAAAGGUCUGAUAUCUUGUUUGUGCUGAUGCUUAUGUAACUGUUACAUUUGGUUACAACUCAUCUCACGAUGCAUUUUAAAAGGGUAAGUUUAAUUGUGUGUAAAUUACACCUUAAUAAACCUGACUUUUAAGAAAUACUUAAUCUGGAGAAAAAUUAAUUUUAAAAAGUUAUUUUUUUAAAAAGGCAGUUGAGGAGUUCCCGUCGUGGCGAGUGGUUAACGAAUCCAACUAGGAACCAUGAGGUUGCGGGUUCGGUCCCUGCCCUCCCUCAUGGGUUAAGGAUCCAGUGUUGCUGUGAGCUGUGGUGUAGGUCGAAGACGCAGCUGGGAUUCUGAGUUGCUGUGUCUGUGGCGUAGGCUGGUAACUGCAGCUCCUAUUUGAACCCUAGCCUGGACACUUCCAUAUGCCGCAGGUGCAGCCCUAGGAAAAAAAAAA